UACGGGAGGCAGCAGUGGGGAAUAUUGCACAAUGGGCGCAAGCCUGAUGCAGCCAUGCCGCGUGUAUGAAGAAGGCCUUCGGGUUGUAAAGUACUUUCAGCGAGGAGGAAGGCGUUGUGGUUAAUAACCGCAACGAUUGACGUUACUCGCAGAAGAAGCACCGGCUAACUCCGUGCCAGCAGCCGCGGUAAUACGGAGGGUGCAAGCGUUAAUCGGAAUUACUGGGCGUAAAGCGCACGCAGGCGGUCUGUCAAGUCGGAUGUGAAAUCCCCGGGCUCAACCUGGGAACUGCAUCCGAACUGGCAGGCUAGAGUCUUGUAGAGGGGGUAGAAUUCCAGGUGUAGCGGUGAAAUGCGUAGAGAUCUGGAGGAUACCGGUGGCGAAGGGCGGGCCCCUGGGACAAGACUGACGCUCAGGUGCGAAAGCGUGGGGAGCAACAGGAUUAGGAAUAACC
rnacentral:rRNA from 1 species